UUUAUUGGAGAGUUUGAUCCUGGCUCAGGAUGAACGCUGGCGGCGUGCCUAAUACAUGCAAGUCGAGCGAAUGGAUUAAGAGCUUGCUCUUAUGAAGUUAGCGGCGGACGGGUGAGUAACACGUGGGUAACCUGCCCAUAAGACUGGGAUAACUCCGGGAAACCGGGGCUAAUACCGGAUAACAUUUUGAACCGCAUGGUUCGAAAUUGAAAGGCGGCUUCGGCUGUCACUUAUGGAUGGACCCGCGUCGCAUUAGCUAGUUGGUGAGGUAACGGCUCACCAAGGCAACGAUGCGUAGCCGACCUGAGAGGGUGAUCGGCCACACUGGGACUGAGACACGGCCCAGACUCCUACGGGAGGCAGCAGUAGGGAAUCUUCCGCAAUGGACGAAAGUCUGACGGAGCAACGCCGCGUGAGUGAUGAAGGCUUUCGGGUCGUAAAACUCUGUUGUUAGGGAAGAACAAGUGCUAGUUGAAUAAGCUGGCACCUUGACGGUACCUAACCAGAAAGCCACGGCUAACUACGUGCCAGCAGCCGCGGUAAUACGUAGGUGGCAAGCGUUAUCCGGAAUUAUUGGGCGUAAAGCGCG
rnacentral:rRNA from 1 species